UUGUGCUUUACGCGCGCACACAGAAGCCCCACACAGCGUACAAAAGACUGUACAUAUUACACAUCGGUGGCUUUUUAGAGCGACGAGAAAAAAUAAGUAAUUAAACGAUGAGGACGGACCAAGUGGUGGGUGAGAGAGAGAAAGAGACAGGGGUUCCCCUUGAACCCUCUGCUCGGCAGCUCUCCCGCCCCUUUACUACUCGAUCGCGACCACCCACGGGAUGUUGUCGACUACUGCAUUGAGAUGCGUCGAGGAAAUCGCACUGCUCUCUUCUCCUCUCCCUCUCUUGUCCACCUUUCCCGCGAACCGGUGGACCUGCGCGACUGCAACCUCGCGUUUUGGCAAUCACGACCAGAAGCUUUUACAGACAGACGUUUAUCGACCGAGUGCAAAUUAUAAAACCAUUUUGUACUUGUUGACAAUCCAAUAAAAUUAAGAAUCACGAUCAA